GGGACACGUGGUAUCCUGUCUGAAUAUGGGGGGACCAUCCUCCAAGGCUAAAUACUCCUGACUGACCGAUAGUGAACCAGUACCGUGAGGGAAAGGCGAAAAGAACCCCGGCGAGGGGAGUGAAAAAGAACCUGAAACCGUGUACGUACAAGCAGUGGGAGCACCUUCGGGUGUGACUGCGUACCUUUUGUAUAAUGGGUCAGCGACUUAUAUUCUGUAGCAAGGUUAACCGUAUAGGGGAGCCGCAGGGAAACCGAGUCUUAACUGGGCGUUAAGUUGCAGGGUAUAGACCCGAAACCCGGUGAUCUAGCCAUGGGCAGGUUGAAGGUUGGGUAACACUAACUGGAGGACCGAACCGACUAAUGUUGAAAAAUUAGCGGAUGACUUGUGGCUGGGGGUGAAAGGCCAAUCAAACCGGGAGAUAGCUGGUUCUCCCCGAAAGCUAUUUAGGUAGCGCCUCGUGAAUUCAUCUUCGGGGGUAGAGCACUGUUUCGGCUAGGGGGUCAUCCCGACUUACCAACCCGAUGCAAACUACGAAUACCGAAGAAUGUUAUCACGGGAGACACACGGCGGGUGCUAACGUCCGUCGUGAAGAGGGAAACAACCCAGACCGCCAGCUAAGGUCCCAAAGUCACAGUUAAGUGGGAAACGAUGUGGGAAGGCACAGACAGCCAGGAUGUUGGCUUAGAAGCAGCCAUCAUUUAAAGAAAGCGUAAUAGCUCACUGGUCGAGUCGGCCUGCGCGGAAGAUGUAACGGGGCUAAACUGUGCAC
rnacentral:rRNA from 1 species